UACGGGGGGGGGCAAGCGUUGUUCGGAAUUACUGGGCGUAAAGGGCGCGUAGGCGGCCUUCUAAGUCGGACGUGAAAUCCCUCGGCUUAACCGAGGAACUGCGUCCGAGACUGAAAGGCUUGAAUCCGGGAGAGGGAUGUGGAAUUCCUAGUGUAGAGGUGAAAUUCGUAGAUAUUAGGAAGAACACCAGUGGCGAAGGCGGCUCACUGGCCCGGUACUGACGCUGAGGCGCGAAAGCGUGGGGAGCAAACAGG
rnacentral:rRNA from 1 species